rnacentral:lncRNA from 1 species
UGGGGGGGCCAACUACGACGCUCAGUCAGAGUAGCUACAGCCCCACAGCCCAGAGCCAUCUGCCUGCUCCGCCAAGGAGGAGACUGCCGCCUCACGUCACCAGCCCACCAGGGAGGAGAAGCCAUGAGAGGCACCAGCGCCACCAGUGUGUCCAACCCUCCCCUUCCCUCUCCCCCCUGUGGCCCCUCUCAAGCUCACCAAGCAUCAUUCUUUGAGACCCGCCCCCCCUUUUGUUUUAAAGAAGUCAUUUUGGUGCCAGGGUCAUGCAUACCAUCUGAUCCCAGAAGCCUCUCUGUCACUGGCCCUGGACCUGGCAUUUACCCCUGCCGUCACCGUGGCCUGCCUGGUCUAAGCUACCCUGGCCUUGAGUUGCUGAGGCCUGGUCAGGUGCCACCCCAGCUUGACCUGGCUGUUUCCUGCUAGCCCUACGCCGGCCACCAAUACCAGGAGCUGUGCACACCUUACAGCCUUCAUGAGCUCCCAUGCGCGCGCAUGCUCCUCAGAGCCCAUAGAUGUGGCCCCAGGCCUCACCCCUGUCCUGUUCAGAGUGGCCUUGAGCUGUCCCUCUGGUAGACACUGCUUGGCAGUAACAGGUUUAGGUCUGGCGUGGACCGAGUGUGAAGUGACAAAUUUGCCUUAAAUCUUGCCUGGCAGUGGCUCUGCCACGUGGUCUAAACUACCCUUUUGGCGAAGCCUUUCUGAAGCCUGAGAGGUCUGAGUCUGGCUGGGGGGGGGGGGGGGGGGGAGUUCAGGGUCAACCUCAGGGCCUCCAGGGUGACAAGGAUGGAAAGGUCCCCUGCAAACAGGGAGGCUGGCAUAGGCCUCAGGGCACCUGGAAGGCAGCAACGGUUGGAAUCUUAGUCUGCAAAUUCCAAAGAUGGCUUUGUUUGCUUUUGAAGACAGCUGAGGCGGGCUUGGCUCCUCGAGAGCACUCGAAGAUGGUUCUUUCCCUCCCUCCUCGCUCUUAUUACUCUGGGGAAGGAUGCUGCACCGGGCUGGGCUGUGAGGACCAUCUCUGGCAUUCCGACAGUUUACAGAAGUAAAUGUGUUUUUC